AGGAUGGGACUGCGUCCGAUCAGGCUGUUGGCGGGGUAAUGGCCCACCAAACCUGUAACCGGUACGGGCCUUGAGAGAGGUGGCCCGGAGAUGGACACUGAGAGAAGGGUCCAGGUCCUACGGGGCGCAGCAGGCGCGAAACCUUCGCAAUGCGCGAAAGCGUGACGAGGUUAAUCCGAGUGACUCCCGCUGAGGGGGUCUUUUGUCAGCUGUAAAUAGGCAGGCGAAUAAGGGGAGGGCAAGCCUGGUGUCAGCCGCCGCGGUAAUACCAGCUCCUCGAGUGGUCGGGGCGAUUAUUGGGCCUAAAGCAUCCGUAGCCGGUUCCGUAGGUCCUCUGUUAAAUCCAACCGCUUAACGGUUGACCUGCAGAGGAUACCGCGGGACUAGGAGGCGGGAGAGGCGGACGGUACUCCGCGUGUAGGGGUAAAAUCCUUUGAUCCGCGGAAGACCACCAGUGGCGAAGGCGGUCCGCCAGAACGCGCUCGACGGUGAGGGAUGAAAGCUGGGGGAGCGAACCGGAUUAGAUACCCGGGUAGUCCCAGCCGUAAACGAUGCUAGCUAGAUGAUUCAUUCGCAAGUCGCGAAUGAAGUGUCGCAGGGAAGCCGUUAAGCUAGCCGCCUGGGGAGUACGGUCGCAAGACUGAAACUUAAAGGAAUUG
rnacentral:rRNA from 1 species